ACCUGGGUGGCUUGCUUGGUUAAGCGUCUGACUUUGGCUCAGGUCACGAUCUUGUGGUUUGUGGGUUCGAGCCCCACAUCAGGCU
rnacentral:tRNA from 1 species